AGGAUCCAUCUGAUCAAUGCUAGAAGCUUGGAGACAAAUGGCUCUUGCUCCUCCAGACUGUCUCUUGUAGCAGGUCUCUAAUUAGGAGGAAUAAAAGGCUCAGCUGUCAGAGACCAGGGCAAGGACCAGCCCCUCCCUCAGCUCUGUGUUACACAGCCAUGUUGUAAGCUCAGCUGCAGAUGACAAGUGCUUUGUUUGUGACUCCUGGGUGCUCUGCACUUGAUGCAUCUCCCAACAGAUGCAAGGCAAGCUCUGCUCCUCCUGUCUGGCCUGGCUUGCAGUGAUGGAUUAAGUGGGAGGUCUCCAAGCAUUUUAAAAGGAAGCUAACAUCACAGAUUGAAGCCUCAAGAUGGGAUCUUUUUCAGUGACCAAGUCUGGAGCCAGCCAGAGACACCUGGGCUGCCUGUGGUGCUGCAUUGACAUCACAUCUCUGUGGUGAAGGUAGGCUGGUCCUCAGUGCUCCCUGAGACAUGGACUCAGAGGGAGCCCCAUCUCUUAUCUCACUCUCCCUGGGCGCCCACCACAUGCACAGCCCUCUGAGAAGGAGCUCCCUGGCUGGGAGAGUGAAGGCUCAGAGGUAUUUAUGCCUUUUGGGAUGGGUUUUAUCAGGAAUGGGAUUUGAGCUGCCUGAGAGGGAGGUGACACAGGCUGGCAGCUGGGGAAUUGGUUUGGAGCAUCAGAACAAAUGGCUGCUGUAAUUCUGGAGCAUUCUCUUGUUAAGUUACCUCUCAUGUCACCCUCCUCCAUUUCAGAACUGAGAGGAAAACAUGGCCUCAGAGCAUUUUUCUCCCUAUGAUGCCUUCACCUUUCUUGUAUUCCCUUUUCCCUUACAAUCUCAGCUGACUGGGUCUCACUGCCAGCCUAUUGAAAGGAAAGGCAUGUGCUGGCUUAUGGAGGGAGAGAGACCUGAGACAGGAUAAAUCUGUAUGCAAUGAGAACGGGGGGAAGCAAGUCAGCUGCUCUGACACUUUUAUUAUGGAGCCAGGCUGCUUGGGGAUGAAUCUUUCUUGAAACGUGUUGCUGGAUGACAUUUCUACCAGGUCUCAGCAGUAACCUUCACCAAGCCUUGCUGCCCAGCCCUGUGCUUGCCUUUUCCUGGGACAAAGGGAACGAAUAUCAGCUGGAAAUGCCACAGGCAGCAGGGAUCAGUGGGGCUCAGUGCACCUCCAGUGAGUCUGAAAGCACCUGGAGCUCUUCAGGCUUUGGUGACUCCAGCUUAUGGCUGCAUGUGUUGUUUUGCAAAGGACUUGUGGGCUCCUACAUCUGUUCCUCAUUUCAGAAACAAAGAGGAUGCAGCAGAGACCAAAAUGAAAUCCUCCUCAGUGUUGUCCAGAAGGAUGGAUAAGUGCAAGAAAAUAUAAUUCCAUGGCUGUGGAAAAGGAGUAUCCACUUGUUUAGUAACCUGGUAAUGAGUGCUGGCUGUGCUCCAUGCAGAGGCUGGGAGCCACAGGAGAUUUGGGGUUACAGAGAGGGCUGGGCAGGGUUUGCUGCCCUCUCAGCUCCUUUCCUGUAUCACUGUCAGCUUAGAUUUCACAUCAAGAGCAUGAUGUUAUGGCUGGCGGUGACAACAGCAGAAUGUCACUGGCAAAGGUGAAAUCUUUCCCUCCAUCAGGGUAAUUCUCCCUUCCCCUUGGCUUGUGUUGGGCCCUGCUGGCUGCUGGUGCUGAGCAGGGCAGGCCCUCAUGCUGCUCAGGAGACAGAAUUUACUGUUCUGAGCAGCUCUUCCUGCUCUCUGGGUCAGUGGCUCCCUGUCUCUGCUGGCCCCUUGGCUGCACAGUGACCUGGGACAGAGGGAAACCCCUCAUCACUGCCUGAAACAAACUGGGGACAUUGGGAGCUGCACUGUUUGCCAUCAUGUGCUCCUCUGCCAUGCUGGCAGGCUUGUACCACUGGAGGUCUGCCAGGGAUGUCCCUUCAGAGCCCCCCUAUGCUCUUCAGGGCCAGGCCUAAGCUAGGUCUGGGUCUGAGGGGCAGCCUUACAUGUUAAUGGUUCAUGUUCUCUGCAGGCUGCCUCUCACCUCCUCUGAGCUGGAGCUGAUCAUGUGGAAAGGUGCCUGUGCCCAGCUGCUCCAGCAUCUGUCCCCAAGAGCCAGUUCAGCAAAGCCUUGGUGUUGUUCUGGGUCCAGCUUUCACUUUCCAGCUGGUUGUGGAGAAAAGGAUGAAGGUUCCUGCUGCUGCCAGGCCACAGUAGAAAACAGAGGAAGGAGACUGGCCUCUUAGUGUGCUUAAAGAUCCAAAAGUUUAAUCUGACUCUGCUUCUCCCUCAGCCCUGAUCCUGUUGUAUCUUUUCCAUCUGAUGCCUGAGUCUUUUUUUGUUUUGCUAUUUUUUCCUUGUUCCCUUUCCCCCCUCACUUUAUGAAAAAUGGCUUUCCCAUCUGCAUCUGUCAGGAGCCUGCCUGAGCCGGGUGUACGGCUCAGUGAAUAUACAAAUGUGUGCUUGGGUCAUGGCCCCCCUGACAGGCCAGAGAUGAAUUCCAAACAGGAAGAACAGGGAGAAGAGCUUCUGCUGCCUCUCAUGGUUGCUUUUGUUAUCCCAAGGAGGUGUGAGAAUCGCCUUUGGGAGCAGUGCUUCCUUCUGCUCCUGCUCUGCCUUACCAAGGAUCAAUUCUCUCUCAUCCAUCAUCAGAUGAGUCCUCCUUGCUCCCAUCUCAGCUGCUGAUGGGAAUGCUGGGGAAAGGGAAAACUUUUUAAUCCUGCUUUUUACUACUAUUCUUUUCUUUCUGCCUUUUGCAUCCCACCUCUUAAGCCCAUGACAAUGCAUUUGGCAGGCUGGGCUUGAGCACACUCCAUGGUCCAGGUACUUUUAAAGAGAGUGAAGGAUGAGGUAGAGGGAAGGGCAUUGUUUUGUAGAAUCAUAGAAUAUCCUGAGUAGGAAUCCACAAGGAUCAUCAAGUCUAACUCCUCUCCCUGCACAGGACACCCCAACAAUCCCACCAUGUAUCUGAGAGCAUUGUGCAAACACUCCUUGAGCUCUGGCAGGCUUGUGGCUACAACCACUGCCCUGGGGAGCCUGUUCCAGUGCCCAAUCACCCUCUGAGUGAAGUUCAUUUUUCUAAUACCCACCCUAAACCUCCCCUGACACAGCUUCUUGCUGUUCCUUUGGGUCCUGCUGCUGGUCACCACUUUGACCUAAGCCCCCUAAAAGGGCUUAAAAUUCAGCUUUGGAAUUUUUCAGCAGUGGUGCACAACUCCACAUAGGAUGCCCUGAAAUCACCCAGAUGCUCCUGCACAUUCCAGCGUCUCUGUCCCCUUUCCCUGCUGCAGGUGAGCGGGGAGAAGAGCUCCCUGUGAGGCUCCGCAAGGAGGAGUUCUUGUGUGUAUGCUGUGUACCUGCAGGGUCACUCAGGUGCCCAAAGGGAGCUGACAGCCUGCCCUGACACCCAGGGGUUUGCUGAGCUGCUCCUGCCCCUUGGCUUUGUGCAGGCUGGUGUGGGAGCUGCUUCCCUCACCCCCGUGUCAGAGAAGCCAGGCAGGCAGAAAAUGAAACGAGUCUGUCCAUCCACGCUCUUGCCACAGCUACCUGGUCAAGGAGGGGAGAUUCCUGGGAGGGCAGACCCCCACUUUGGCAGGAAGAGAGAGCAGGCAGCUUGAGCUGAGCUCAUUUUUUCUCUAAGCAGAUGGAUGUUCAGUGGGGCCCCACAAAACCCCUCUCGCUCCAGGCUGUGAGCCCACCGAACCAAAGCGCUGUGCUGACACGGAGAAAAGCAUCACUCCAUUGAUGCUCAGCCUGAGCUGCUGCUUCCAUUCCACUCAGGACUCAGCAGCAGCCUCCUCCUGCCCCCAGCUCCCAGGAGGAGCCAGCUGCACACCUGCAUCCAGGCGAGGAGGGAGCAGGAGCUGUGCAGCCACGAGGAAGGCACCGAUGGCAGAUCCCUGCAGCAUUCCCACCCCGCGGGGCUCUUGGCCAGCGAGCUUUGAAAGCUCUCGGUGCUCCUGCAGGGUUUGACUUUUAAAUCUGCAAAUGGACUUAACUGCUAAUGUGCUCAUCAGUUUAGAAGUGGCAGCCAGAGGAGCUGUGAGACUUGGUGAAGGUGGGAGAAGCCCCAGAGUUGAGCCUGGAGCCCCAGGAAAGGUUGUUCCAUGGACAGAAGGACCCAUUCAGGUCCUUCCACAGCUGUAUCUCCUUCCCAGCAGACUGGGAGAGAUCCAAUCCGUGCUGCAGCUCAUGGUGCCCAUUGUGCUUCCUUCCACUGGUGGCAGAGAGGAAGCUCCUGUGAGGAGGAAGGAGGGAAGCCUGAUGUCCCUGCUGUGCUGCUGUGGGUGACAGCUCCUUGCUGGCCUCCCCCAGGAUGGUGUGUCCUGCUGGGACCUGUGCUGAGCUCUGUGGGACGGUGGCACAGGGCUGUCCAGGCCAGCUGGGCUCCAGGGAAGAGUGGCUACAGCACUGGGGAGUGGGGAUGGAGUGUCAGAGAGGAGUGACAGCACUGGGGAUCUGCCAGGAAAGGCUCUGCCUGCCCCCCGAUCCACAGCAUCCAUCCCAGCCCCCAGGAGCACAGACCAGCUGAUGUUCUGCCUGGGAGUCUGGCUUUCCCUGGAGCUGGAGAGCCGUCCCUGCCUUGGAUGACCUCUCACAUGCCCUGUAAAGGUACCAAGGUGGCUCUGAGCUGGGGAGAAGUGAUACCUGGCAUGCAGAUACCCCAGCCCCACCUUUCUUUGGCCACUGCCCACCUCAGAGCCUGUUUUCCACCACACAGCCCUUUGGCUGACUUUGCUCUGACUUUCUGGUCUCCCUGUAACAGCAUGGUGAAGGCAGAGAGCAGCUUCAAGGAGAAGCACCAGGAGCCCUCUGGCUCACACAGCCAGAAGAAGCAUCAUUUGUUAAAUUUUCCAGCUGUCAGGAAAACUGGGAAGACAGCAGAAGCCUCUCCUGUCAUGGUGGAUGGUGUAAAUCUCUUGGAGUUGCACCUGCUGAUGGCCUGACCCUGGAGACCUCUGAGAGCUGGAGCUAGUGGGGAUUGAAUCCACCAGGGAAUAAGAGAAUCUCGCCCGAAGAAGCCGCUUUGAUCAAUGCACUUGGAUUCCAGCCUUCAGCCUUGAUCAAGGCGGGAGGAGGGACGAGGGAGAGCGAGCACUCGCGGGCUCUUUGGGGACGGCCGGGAAGCGAGGCUGCCGCUCCAAGGAAAGCUGCUUCAAAGCAGGGACACCUUCCAGUAGCCCAAAGCCUCAUCCAACCUGGCCUUGGACACUUCCACGGAUGGGACACCACAGCUGCUCUGGACAACCAAGAAGUGAUGGAAUAUACACAGCAGAAGCCAAAAUAACUUCUCUAGUUGGGAAUCCUGCUGGCAGCCCUGCCUGCUCAGGAGCACUGCUGGCCCUCAUGCCUGUGCCCUCCCCAUCCUCAGGCUGAUGUCUGCCAGCACUGCCUGGGGAGCCCAGAGGAUGGCUUUGACUUUUCAUUUCCUCCUGGUGUGUUUAAUUGCCUGAUUUUUUUCCCUUUAGGACUGGGAGAGAGAGGAGAGGUGGGCAAAGGAAGACAGAUGUGUGGAAAAUAGAAGGCUAGGUGACAGAUUGAGGGCUGCUAUAACCACAAUAGCCAGCCUGAUGGAUUGAUAGAUUAGACAGGGAAUAUAAAUAGCAAGUAUGGUUUAUCUAUCCCUGUUUUAUUUUCCUCUUGUCUGUCUCUUUAUCUCUCCUGGAGUUAUUUUCCUCCUGCUUAUCUCUUUAUCUGCCCAGCCCGAGGAUGGGGGAGAGGUGGGUGACAGGAGCAGGAUGGAUGAGUUCAGGUUUCCACUGCCUUUGCAGCAUCCAAGCAGACAAGUUUUGCCAGCUGUGGAGGAUUAGAAGGCGGCCUCAGACCUGCACACUGAUUCACAUUUUCCACCCCUCUCCUUUCCCUGCCCCAUCCCCUUUGUCUGCACGCCUCCCUUGGGGAUCCCUGCGGUCACAGGGUCUGCUCCUUCCUCUCUCUGCCUCAUCCUUGGCCAAGGGAUGAGGGCAGGCACUGGAGCAGUGAGCUCUGCUUGUCUGGGCUCCCGACAUUCCCAUCUGACAGCCAGGCAGCUCCACUGCUUGAUAUUCCAGUCAGGC